GGAAGGGAAGAAGGAACACCAGAAGAAGGAAAAUGAAGAGAAGUAACACUAGAAGAAGGCAUAUGAAGUAACACAAGAAGAAGGAAGUUGAAAAGAGUAACACAAGAAGAGGGAAUUUGAAAAGAGUAACACAAGAAGAGGGAAUUUGAAAAGAGUUACACAGAAGAAGGUAUUGAAAGAGUAACACAGAAGAAGGUAUUGAAAAGAGUAACACAGAAGAAGGUAUUGAAAAGAGUAACACAGAAGAAGGUAUUGAAAAGAGUUACACAGAAGAAGGUAUUGAAAAGAGUAACACAGAAGAAGGUAUUGAAAAGAGUAACACAGAAGAAGGUAUUGAAAAGAGUAACACAGAAGAAGGUAUUGAAAAGAGUAACACAGAAGAAGGUAUUGAAAAGAGUUACACAGAAGAAGGUAUUGAAAAGAGUUACACAGAAGAAGGUAUUGAAAAGAGUAACACAGAAGAAGGUAUUGAAAAGAGUUACACAGAAGAAGGAAUUUGAAAAGAGUUACACAGAAGAAGGAAUUUGAAAAGAGUAACACAAGAAGAAGGAAUUUGAAGAGAAAUAACACAAGAAGAAGAAAUGUGAAGUAACACCAGAAGGAAAAUGCAGAGAAGUAACACUAGAAAAAUGAAAAUGGAAAUGAAAAGAAUCAUCCACCUUUCGGCCCAAACCAACAUCACAAAAUUAUGGGCGAGUCUCUUCUGGGAGGAAAGCGGCUCGUUCAGACCCAGGAACACCAGAAAGGAUGAAAGAAACAUCAAGAAAAGGAAAA